GCCUUCCUGGUCUAGUUGGUUAUGACGUCGCUCUCAUAAUAGUAUGUUAUGACUUCGAUCAUCGAAGAUAUGCGAAGGUCGGCAGUUCGAUCCUGUCGGAGGGCA